GGGAUGCUCUAAAUCCCGCCGCCACCCGAGCUCCGCCUCCUCCUCUGCCCCAUCGCCGCCGCACCCCGCCUCCUCAUCUGCCCCAGCGCCGCCGUCCCCUCCUCGCGUGCUCAUCUCUGCCUCCCUCGUGAUCUCCUCUCCGCGCCUGGGCGCCUGGGCGACGGCGAGCGCGCACCUGGAGAUGGCGGCGGUGAAGGCGAGCGCGCGCCUGGGCGACUGCGGCGGCGAGCGCGUGCCUGGAGACGACGGCGGCGAAGGCGACAGUGGGGGUGGAGGUCAUCAAUCGGCGCUCAAUCAGGCUGCAACUGCCUCAGCGCUGGCGCUGCCGCUCUUCUGCCUCCGCUUCUCCGGCAGUAAAGGCCACGGCGGCGGGCUUCUUUGCCAUCCUGCUGCGCCUACAGAGAGAUGGAUGGGAUUGGGGAGGAGAACCGCAGGGGCGAAGGUCAUCGAUCCGCGCUGCUUGGCCCAAUUUGAUAAGGAGGACGCCGCCCUCCUCCGCCUCACCUCCUCUGCUUCUGGGCUGGUGCAGCUGGAGUAUCUCCGUGGGAUCUCUCCGAUAACAACAAGCAACACUUGCGUAACCUACCCCAGCUUCACGAUCUAUCUCCACAGCUGCUCACCCCAGGGAACCAAGAUGCAGGCGUGAAGGAUAUCAAUAAACAGGUUGAUAGGUUUACUGCCAGGUUCAGAUCUUCCGCUCACGAAAUUUUCCCUUUGGGGUAGCAUACAUCAUAACUUAAACUCGGCUUUGAUGGUACAGUACUGAAGUGUUUGAUGGAUCGUGGAUUCGUUAAUUGAUGCAAGCUCCGUGCAAUAUGGUCACUGAGCCUGAACCCAACGAUGUUAUCUAGGUAAGGUACCAAACUCCACCGUUACCGCUUGUGUUACCAGCUUCUACUUUGUUCCUUCACUUGCUGCUAUAUAAGUAUAUUAUUCAUUUGUUGGACUUUUUUACUACUAGAGUAGGCAUCUAAUAAUGCAAUAUGAAGAAUAUUCUUAAAGAACUGCAAUACGAUUGGGUGCACGCUUUAUCCAUGUAAAAAAUGGAAAAUAUUGGUCUGUUUUUUGUAUGCCUUCCAAUACCACCGAAGAAGUCCUGUGUUAGAAUUUAAGAAAUUUUGUUUUCAAAGCAGAGUUGCAGUUGACAUAUAAUGCAUUUUCAUUUAACUACUUAUUCUUUAUACUGAUUUACCCAAAAAAAAAUCCCUUUCUUAGUGGUUACCAGUUUGCUUUGUUCUUACUUAUAUGGUCUUCUUUAUUCAUGAAGCACUAGAUUGUUUAUUUACAUAGAAAUCACGCCCUGUUGUGAAGAGCGUAUUGCACUGGACCCUGAGGGGUAAUUCCGUUUCCAUGAAGUUCUUCUCUAUUAGCUGCAUCAAUAAUGCUUCCUUAUGCAUGCGUUCGAUGCCAAUGGAAACCAGCAACCUAAUCCAAGCUAAAGCCUUUCGAACCUGCACUGCCAUGGAUCGUCAUAAGACACAGCCAAUCACCUAAGAGUUCAAGCAAGUGAUUUGUUGGUCCAAAAAUCUUAAAUAUAAGCUGAAGUGAGUAAUAUUGUUCACAACAUUUAAUUAUAGGCCAGAAAAUAGACUUAGGGAUAUAAAUACUACGCAUGAAACACUUGUACAUUUUUUGUAGAAGCUGUCCGGUUGAACUCUGUAAGGUUACCUUUUUUUUACAUAUCAUGGCACAUAACAGAUUAGAUUUAAUUAUGGAUUCGUAUAAGAAAUUAUUAACCGAGAAACACUACUACAUAUCAAUUAUUCAGGUGUAGAACUAAUUAAAGUGUUCAGUGCAUCCAUCUGUAUUGCAAAAGUAAUAGCUCCAUUGGCUACCUACACAUAAAACGAGAGCUUCCCUCCUAUCCAUGGUGGCAUCAUGCAGGGCUGCUUGGAAGUACGUAACCUGAUACAGCUAUUUGUUUCAUGUCAUUUUUGCGCCUUUGCAAAUAGAUGAUUAAUAGCUACCAUAAGUAACUCUAUUCAAUUCUGGGUGUUACCCAUUCACUUGGGUCGCAAGUGGCGGUGUUAUAUUUGAGAAUGCAACACUCCAACUUUGAACUAAACAUGCCUAUGACUCUACAAGUGUUUACUUCCUCUCUUUCUAUCUUGGAGAAACCUCCGAUGCCAAAAUGGUGAGUAAAGCCAUGCUCCAGUACAUGUCAAAAAGACGCUAAUAAGGUUCAGACUAACAUCAGAAUUAAGUUGUCAGUCAUACUUCAGUGGUUCUCUGUAUAUCUGAAGUUGCUAGCUGUUUCUUUUAUAGAACUUAUAAAUUGGAGUGUACUUCCAGCCGGCUAUGCUUAUGGUUGUUUAAUUUGGUCCUAUGUCAAUGUAGUAUCAAAUAAUUUGUUUUCUGUGUUUUUUGAGAGAGCUUUCACCUGAUGGCAACAUCUCAGACUUGAUGGAAACUCCUUUUGACAGAGGUCUCAUGCUUAUCACGUACGGAACCACUCCCAUGUGAUUUAGCUUAAUCUUCUAUGUACGAUACAUUCACCUUCCACUGCAACGAGGUGUGUGAGGUUGGCAUGAUGCUAUGAGAGGUACUAACUAUCUCAGCGGGUUGACCCUAGCCUCCAGUGGCUCUCCCUUCCUCGAGAUGGCAGGCCCAUACGGCACCGGCAGAAAGCCUGCUGCAUCUCAGGCCGGUGCUUGAAAUGGGGGUUCCGAUCCUGUCCACGUCGAGCUCGCCUAGCGCCUGCUCGCCCGCCGCUGAGAUAUAUGAUUUGAUUUCCCGUGGGGAGAAGAAGAGAAGACAGAUAGACAGAUCUAUGGGAAAAUUUCUGAAUACAUGCAUCUGGUGUGCCAUUAUUUUUUCAGGUAUGGAGCCACUCCCAUGUGAUUUAGCUUAAUAUUCUGCGUACGAUACCUUCACCUUCCACUGCAACGGGGUGUAUGAGGUUGGCCUGAUGCUAUGAGAGAUACUAACUAUUUCAGCGGGUUGACCUCCAGUGGAUCUACCUUCUUCGAGAUGGCCGACCCAUAUGGCACCGGCAGAAAGCCCAAGCAGAAUCUGAAGCUGGCGCUUGUGAUGGAGGCUCUGAUCCCAUCCACAUCGAGCUUGCCUAGCACCCAGUUAGUGCCGAGGAACUUGAAAAAUCAGCAAAGAUGAAAUUUCUGAUUCUAGAAGGUUUUAAGUGUCAAACGAACAAUUGUAUUAAUCAUCUGGCACUUUUUCAAAUCAGUGGAAGUAGUAUAUUUAAAACUAUUUUCAUGAUUGUAUAUAAGUAUUGUUGUUCCGUU